UACGAAGGGUGCAAGCGUUGCUCGGAAUUACUGGGCGUAAAGCGUGCGUAGGUGGUUUGUUAAGUCUGAUGUGAAAGCCCUGGGCUCAACCUGGGAAUUGCAUUGGAUACUGGCAGGCUAGGAGUGCGGUAGAGGGUAGUGGAAUUCCCGGUGUAGCAGUGAAAUGCGUAGAGAUCGGGAGGAACAUCCGUGGCGAAGGCGGCCACCUGGACCAACACUGACACUGGAGGCACGAAAGCGUGGGGAG
rnacentral:rRNA from 1 species